GACGUAGGGGGCGAGCGUUGUCCGGAUUUACUGGGCGUAAAGCGCGCGUAGGCGGCCCGGUAAGUCCGUUGUGAAAGUCAAAGGCUCAACCUUUGAAAGCCGAUGGAUACUGCCGGGCUAGAGUCCGGAAGAGGCGAGUGGAAUUCCUGGUGUAGCGGUGGAAUGCGCAGAUAUCAGGAGGAACACCGAUAGCGAAGGCAGCUCGCUGGGACGGUACUGACGCUGAGGCGCGAAAGCGUGGGGAGCGAACAGG
rnacentral:rRNA from 1 species